rnacentral:rRNA from 1 species
AGUCACUGACAUUAGAUACCCGGGUAGUCCAGGGUGUAAACGCUGCCGACUUGGUGUUGGAGGCCCUUCGGGGGCAUUCAGUGCCGGAGAGAAGUUGUUAAGUCGGCCACUUGGGGAGUACCCCCGUCCGCAAGGAUAGAAACUUAAAGGAAUUGGCGGGGGAGCACCGCAACGGGAGGAGCGUGCGGUUUAAUUGGAUUCAACACCGGAAACUCACCAAGGGCGACUGUUACAUGAAAGCCAGGCUAAUGACCUUGCUUGAUUUUCAG